AUCCGAUGUAAGACGCUGAAAAUAAGAAAGCCGGAGCGUGGGCUCCGGCUUCCUUUCUGU
rnacentral:sRNA from 1 species